rnacentral:rRNA from 1 species
UACGGAGGGUGCAAGCGUUAUCCGGAUUUACUGGGUUUAAAGGGUGCGUAGGCGGGCCUUUAAGUCAGUGGUGAAAGCUCCGAGCUUAACUCGGAAACUGCCAUUGAUACUAUCGGUCUUGAAUUCGGUCGAGGUUGGCGGAAUGUGUCGUGUAGCGGUGAAAUGCUUAGAUAUGACACAGAACACCGAUUGCGAAGGCAGCUAGCUAGACCGACAUUGACGCUGAGGCACGAAAGCGUGGGGAUCAAACAGG